AGGAUUAAUUUUAUGGCUAGUAUAUAAAGAGACUAUUAUAGAAUAUAAAAGGCUGUAUAUUAAACCAUUAGUACCGUAAAAAUGAUGGAGUAAUUUCCAUUUAUUAGGGAAAAUGGUAGAAGAAUUUCUAUAAAAAAAACGAAGUGAAUUGAAGUAUCUUAUUAGCUUCAGGAAAAUAAAUCAAACGAGAUUCUAUUAGUAGUGUGAAUGAAAAUAGAUAUAGGCUUAAAGUAAAAUGGAUUAAUCUGUUUGAAUAUAGGGGAACCUUCCUCUAAGCCUUAAUAUAAUAUACAAGAAAUAGCGAAUAGUACUGUGAAGGAAGUAUGUAAAAUAGUAGUCUUAUAAGCAGCUCAAGGUAAGUUUAAUAAACAUAUGAGAGCGUACCUUUUGUAUAAUGGGUCAGCAAGUUCUAGUUAGAUGCAAGCAAGUAGUGAUUAGUGGGGAUAUAUUAAAUUAGAAUAGAUAUCAACAAGAUAGACAAUCUAAUAAUAUAAAUACAAAAAAAAAUCAAUUUGCCUAGAUAAUCCAAUUAUUAAGUAAUGAAUUAGUAUCUAAUUAGAGACCCGAAGAGUAGUGAUCUUACCAUGGUCAGGCUUAUAAAAGGCCGAAUGGGUAAACUAAAGAAAUGAGCCUCUUUAUUAGCUCAAGUAGAAGUGAACCUUCUGCUAAAGAUCGUCAAAUUGACGGGAAACCCCUAAAGCAAUCUUAACUAACUUAGCAUGGUAACAUAGCUAAGGGCGCAGGUAAUGACUCGCGAGAUAGUAAAAUCAAGAUUGAUUACGAAAGUGAAUGGGCAAUCCGCAGCCAAGCAGCAUAAUAGUUUUAUUAUGGUGUGCAGUUCAUCGACUAGAUGGUGAUCGGCGAAAGCUUAAGAUAUAGUCAAACCUCUGUGGAAACACAGCAGGAUAAUAUAAUUUUAUGAAGUUUAUAGUAUAGAUUUACAACAAUUUUCUUGGACGUUAUUAUUUUAUUACCUUCAAAUUAGUUAAUUUGAAUAAUAGUCGAGUAAAUUAUAACAAGUAUAUACCCGUAGCAGCUACAAGCAAGGUACACCGUAGAAAGGUACUCGGGCCACUGAAAGGCUAGCACCCUAACUCAGUUAUAGAAUAGAAAGGAUAACCUCUAAAGUAAUAUAUGUCAACAUUGGUAAAAAACAAUUUAAAUCUAAAGCUACUAUAACAUUCUUUCUACAAACAAUAAAUACUUUUUCAAGAUCGUUUUCUUCAGGAAAUAUUGGUAAUUUCAAGCCAGUUGUUAUUUAUGAUAACGCUGAUGUGGACAAAAUGCGUAUCCUAACAGAAAACCGUAAGAAAGUUGCUGUAUAUCGUUGAGUAAAUAAGGUAAAUGGAAAUACUUACAUCGGUAGUUCUAUUAAUUUACAUGUUAGAAUGUAUACAUAUUAUAGUUUACGUUCUCUAGCAAAAAGUAAUAGACCUAUUGAUAGAGCUCUUUUAAAACACGGGUUUUCCAAAAUUCGGAGAAUUUUUGAAAUCUUGGAAUGUUGUUCCUAUGAAGAUGUACUUAAAAGAGAGCAGUAUUACUUAGAUUUUUAUAAACCUCAUUACAAUAUAGCUACAAUCGCAGGGUCUACAUUAGGAUAUAAACAUUCUCAAGAAUCAUUAGAAAAAAUGAGAAACAUUAUUCUAAGUGAUGAAGUAAGAGAAAGAAAAAUACUUUCUACUGUUAAUGCUUCAAUAGCUAAUAGAUUGCCUAUUAGUGUUAAAAACAUCAUAACUAAUGAUGUGACAAAUUAUGCUAGCAUGACUGAGGCUGGUAAAGCACUAGGUGUGACAAGAUCUACAGUAAGUCAAGCAUUGUCGCAAAAUAGACUAAUUAAAAAAACGUAUUCUAUCUGUAAAACUAAAUAAAAACUUCAAAAAAAAAUUAUGUUAUCUGUUAAAUGGAUAGUAGUAAAAUACUAUUUAGGGAGAAAAGUCUCAGCUCGGCCUAAGUUGGAAUAAAUAAAAUUCAACGGCCAAAGAGAUAAUUUGUAUCGUUGUAAAGAUAUCCAAAGAACUGUGGUAAGUUAGUGAAAGACAAUCCUGACUACUAUAGCUGGUUUUCCGCGAAACAUAUGUAAGUAUGUAGUUUAAAUAACAUCAUAGCAGGUACAGAACUGUGAUCUCGGACAAUUUGUGCAUUAAUAUCCUAUUAGGGUAUAUAAUGCCUUGUGCAUAUGGGGGGGUCGUGAAGACUCUAUUCGCGAGUAUUUGCUCUCGGAAGGGCAAUGAUGAGUGUUGAACUAUCAGACAUUUAACGAUAAGGUUGUAUGUCAAAAGGGAAACAGCCCAGAACAAGUGUUUAAGGUUCCAAAGUUUUUGUUAAGUGAAAGUAAGGAAGUAUUUAAACUAUACAACCAGGAAAUAGGCUUAGAAGCGGCCAUUUUUUAAAGACCUCGUAACAGAGCACUGGUUCAAACGGUUAAUUAGUUAACCUUAUAAGUUAAAAGCGCCGAAGAUAUAACGGAUCUAAAACAAAACACCGACACCUUGUCCAUAAUAAUAAUAUUAGGUUAAAUCCGGCUCCGCAGGUUUAACCUGCGGAGCCGGUUAAAUCCUAUUUUAAUAUACUUAAAGGUUAUUUAAGUAUUAUUUAUGGGGUAGCGGAACAUUGGGUAAAUAGGAUUAAAAAUAGGUAAUAAACCCCUUAGAAUCUUUUUUAAUGUAUAAAAACUGGAUGAAUAGAGGGGAAGGAUACACCUAUUUUCAUUAUUACAUCUGUAAUUUGCUCGCUAAAUUGCGGGUUUCCAUAAAUAUCCCAAGUGAGAAUGCUGACACGAGUAACGAAAAAGAGGAUGCCCCUAAAAGGCCCUCUCGCCUUAAGCUUAUGGGAAAGUUAAUCGGUCUCUAAAUUAAACCUAAAGGAUAAAAUGAUGAGGAGAUUAUAUGUGACAACAUAAAGAAAUGGAGUAAAAUGUUCUGGAAAAGCAUAUAGUCUAAGGAUGUAGAUAAAAAUACUAUCCUUUGGGAUGGCCCCUACAAAGGCCAGACCUAAAGGUUAGUCCCCUUCGGGGACUAGUAAAUAAACUAGAGAGAUAUUACUAGGCAUCCUUAAACAUAUAAAACCGUACCUAAAAACUACCACAAGUAAGCUAGUAGAGAAUACGAAGGCGUUUGAGCUAACAAUCAUUAAGGAACUCGGCAAAUUGACACCGUAACUGAGGGAGAAGGUGUGCCAUUCCUACUGAUUAAUAUCAGUUUAGGAAGAGGAGACAUAAAAUGGUGUUGCACGACUGUUUAAUUAAAACACAGCACUUUGCGUAAGAUGUAAAUCAAUGUAUAGAGUGCGCUAUCUGCCCAAUGAUGGCUGGUUAACGGAUUUACUUAGACGACUAAAAUAGGCUAGGUUUUGAAGGAACCCCCAUUUAAUGGCGGCCUUACCUAUGAGGGUCCUAAGGUAGCGAAAUACCUUGGCAUUUAAAUGAUGUCGCGCAUGAAUGAUCUCACGAUGCAACAGCUGUCUCAAUGAUUGGCUCAGUGAAACUGGAAUGGCAGUGAAGAUACUGCCUAUCUCUAGAUAGACGAGAAGACCCCAUGCAGCUUUACUGUUACUAGUUAUAGGGUAUAAUUUAACAGGUUUUAGUGAAUAAGGUAGUUGAACGACAAAAUUGAAACACCUUUACUCUGGUUGUUAUAUCAGUAGAAUAGGUUACAUUAUUGUAACUGACGUCUGAAUGUAAUCCAUAAAAGGAGGGAGAUUAUAUCAAGCUCAGGAGACAAUGGCUAGCAGAUGGUUUAUGCGGGGCACAGAUCCCAUAAAGAGUACCUGGGAGUAUCCAAAUUUAUUUUUGUAAUAUGCUAUACGCAAAUUAUAUAGGGCUUUUAUUAAAUAAUUGCCUUGUAUAUUUUAAUUUUUUAAUUACUAUAUUUAGUUUGUUAUUUUUUAUAUUUACUUUUAUAAAGUAUCUAUAACUAAUUCAGUUAUAUUUCUAUUUAAGUUAGAACUAAAACAAUUUAAUAUAAGUAAGAUUUUACCUAUGUGGAAAAUAGGUGUAUAUAUAGUAUUAAUAAUGAAUAUCUAAUUGUAAAAAAGAUAUAAUUAUAACACUAUUAGUUAUUUUUUUUAGAAUACCUCUAUAAGAAAUGAUGUUGAUAUAUACUUCCAAAGUUUAAUGGCUUAAUCUUGCUUUACUGUUUGACAUACACGUCUAUCAGUUGCGUAAGCAGGGCAUAAAGACCGCAAGACGCAGUAAGGAAAGGUCUUGUAUUAUUGAAAAAGCUACGCUGGGGAUAACAGGCUAAUUGCGCCAGAGAGUACAAAUUGAGUGCGCAGUUUGGCACCUCGAUGUCGGCUUAGCUCAUCCACAUGAAUGCAGGAAUCAUGAAGGGUACGACUGUUCGUCGAUUAAAGAGCUACACGAGCUGGGUUAAAUACGUCGUGAGACAGUAUGGUUUCUAUCUUCUAGAGGAAAUUGGAGUAAAAUAAGGAUAGCCCCUUCGUACGAAAGGAGUUGGGUAUGGUAACCUAUGGUUUACCUGUUGUUUAUGCGCUUAAUAUUAACCUGAUAAAUAACGGCAAGAAUAGGUUCUCCUUAAUAAGUAGAAAAUGGGUAUCUAAAGAAGAAGGAGAGUAAUAUAGAUAGAUUCAUGUGAAUUUAUUACCUAUUUGAGCUAUAGAUGGUAAUACUUUUAUACUCAAGUAUUU
rnacentral:rRNA from 1 species